AAGAAUAGUGUUGUUUGCACCAAGGGAGAGUGCUGGUGCCUAAGGGAGUCCCAGAGACAAAGCAGGGACUUAUUAAGGCAGCCCACUCCGGUGGAAGACUGCACUGCUCAUCUCAAGAAAAGGAAGCGGUCCUAGGGCAGUGCCUGGCACGUUCUGGACGUUCAAGUACUUUGCAUUCGGAAGGCGCUCAAUACUCGUUGAAAGAAUGAAACAAGACUGGACUCAGCUGCUGGAGACAGAGGCCACCGGAGGAGAACAGAGGUACAAGAUGACAAGCAGCCCCUACCAGAAGCAGAGCCACCUUCCUAACCUGUGGGGAGCUACUGGCACGUGAGGGAAUGCAGAGAGCCCAGGGGGCCUCCCCGGUGGUGCAGAGGGUUGAGCGCCGCUCUGUGAAGCUGUCCGCAGCCUCUGCAGCAUGGUUUUGAUUCCCAGCCGGCCAGUGAGAAACCCACAUGGCGCAGCAGACCUCUCCUGCCUUUUCCGCUGCUCCCCUCAGCGGUAUCUUUGGUCCGUCUGCCUGUCGUCUCCCUGCUCUGUCUCUGGUGAAGUCUCUCACCCUCCCUUGCCUCUGACCUGUACCCCAGUUCUUGUGUAAAUAAAUAAAUCUUUAAAAAAAUUCGCAUACAAGUAAAAAUGGAAAAGCUGACAAUACCUGAUUUCUGUCCCCUAUUUUUCUAUUUGCAUGCUGUACUUAGGUAAAC